rnacentral:lncRNA from 10 species
CCAAAGCCAGACCCAGAGGCCUGCCUGGGAGUGGGACUGAGAGCAGUGGCUCUGAGCAGAAGAUGGAGAUGGUCAAGGCCCCACAUCGAGGGUUGCAAUCUUGUCAUCCAUAACUCUUAUAAGAAUGAGCCCUGGCCUGGAAGAGAGGCCAAAUGUCUAAUCAGCAGGCCUGGAACACCGCCGGUGCCAAGAAAGAGCCAAGCAGCCACUCCCUGGGGCUGGCUGCAGAUGAGGCCCUUGUGGUUUCCCCACUCACUGACUACGGGGAGGAGGGUGUGCAAGGACUUUGUCUGGGAAGAAUCUUUGCAUCUGUAGCUCAACAGGCUUCUCUCUCCAGGCCCCUGGGUUUCAAAAGACUGUGACUUCCACCUUGGUUUGCUCGGUCUGAUGAAGGAACUUUGAGCUGUGAGCUGCACUGUGAACUUUGCUGUGAGCUGCCCUGUGAUGGGAGAGGAGGCCUCCGCCUCACAGCCCUGGAGGACCUCAAUGCUGCCAACGUGUGACCAGAUGCAGAUCCUUCUCCAGUCAAGCCUGGACAUGACAUGACAGCAGCCCUGGGGACCUUGAUGCUGUGGCCUGUGCAAGACCCUGAGCCAGCCGCACCCAGAUCCCUCACCCACAGAAACUGCCAGAUUUUAAGUCUUCUGCUUGUAAGCCACUCUUUUUGCCAUAGUUUGUGUGCAGCAAUAGAUAACUGCUCUAGAGUUGUUAAAUGAGUAAGUUUUUUUAAAAACAGCAAAAACAGAUGGACGGACAGAGGGUCGGACAGCUGAACAAAUGGCAUUAGCCCCAGACUCUCCGCCGCCCUGUCUUCCACUCAUCUCCCAGUCUAGCGCCUGCUGCCUCCAGCCCUCACUCUCAGGCCAGUUCAGUUCUCCACACGGUUACCCAGUGUCUGCUGUGUGCCAGGCACCACACCAGGCAGGGUCUCUGGCCUAGUGCCCUCCCAUAACCCGACACAGUUCAGGCUGCAUGGUCAGAGCUGUCCAGAGUGAGGAAGGAGGAACUGGGCCCUGAUCACAGUGGGGGAGCAAGGGUGAGCCAAGCACGGCGGGAGCGGGGGCCCCAGCAGGAGCCUCUAGAAGGUCAGUUCGUUUCUGCCCUGCUUCAUUUCAUGGAGGGUUUGGGAUGGCAUAUAAAACUACACACG